rnacentral:rRNA from 1 species
UGACCUCAGAUCAGGCGGGACUACCCGCUGAACUUAA